rnacentral:lncRNA from 1 species
UUCUACCAGUGUCCCAAGUUUCAAAGUGUUUCGUUAAGAAAAUACUGGUGCCCCCGUUUUGAACAAGAUCCGAAUCUACUGCUACUACUCCUACUGCUGUAUGCUUGUUUUGGUGUUACUAAUACUACGAAAACAACAAAUACACCGACAUUUACAAAAAGUUAUUCACCUGUGAAGGUAUUUUAGCCACGAACGUAUUUAUAAGUAAGUAUUUUCAUUUGGAGACUUCUACUAUCACCAACUUAACAAGUUAAUCAGCAGUAACGAAAGAACAGUUGUCCGAUACUUCAAGUUACCGAUGUCUGAAGGUGAAACACGCUGAAAUAUUCAACAGUACGUUUUGGAUUUCUUUGAAAAGAUCUUGUGCGUUUGAAUAGACAAAUCACAAGGUAGAAAGAUAUACCAAGAAACAAGCGAGUAAGAAGUUAAAAACAAAACAACAAUCACAACAACCUCACCAACAACAAAAUAACUGCAGUUCAGUAUUUAUCAGAGAAAGUUGAUAAUCUUAAGCGAUUGUUAGAAAUUAUACAUAAGAUGGAUGCGGAGAAUAAUAAAAUGCCAUUCGAUGGUUGGUGGCUACCACCAAACGUAACCACCAAAGUGAAUGUAGAAACAAUAGAAUUCUCUUGUGCCAUUGGAGGAUUUUUAUUGCUAAGCAUUUUGGUACUUUUUUGUAAAUGUUACAUGUUCCAUCGUCGCAAGAAACAAUCAUCUUCGCCACCACCUGAACCUAGUCACGAUACCAACUCAGUUCCUAUAGUAGUACCAUCAAUCAGUAUUGCCAUUAUAUCGAAACCGACUUUGGAGACAGUAGAAAAUGGUGAAGAGUACUACUUGGCAGCAGCUUGAAAAAACAAUGCUUUAUUCAAAGAGGAAAACAGAACAAAAGACGAAGCAAAUUCAAACGAUAGCACUGCGGGUCCUUGUCAAUCAGCAAUGAACAGCUGCCGAAUUUACUUUUGCUGGCCAUGGUGCCACAAUUCAAAAUGAAAUGAGAGAAUACGAAAUGACACUGCAAAAGCCAAAUCUUUUAAACUUUAUAUAUGUUAUGAAAAGACUAACAUUACGGGUUUACAAUAUUCUUAAUUUUAGUUCUAACGUUAACCCAUGUUCAUAAAGACCUCAUUGUGGAAGGCAUUCACCUAGCGGUCAAUACCAAAGAGAAGGCUGACUUCAACGGGUGAUCGACUGUUGCAUAUCAAAUAUAA